rnacentral:rRNA from 1 species
UGGAGGAUGAAGGGUCUAUGACUUGUAAACUCCUGUAAAGAAGGAAAAAAUUCCCAUUAGAUGGGAGAUGAUGGUACUUCUGGAGUAAGCCCCGGCUAACUCCGUUCCACCAGCCGCGGUAAUACGUAGGGGGAAAGCGUUGUCCGGAUUUACUGGGUGUAAAGGGUGCUCAGGCGGAUUUGUAAGUCAGAGGUGAAAUCUUACAGCUUAACUGUGAAACUGCCUUUUNUACUGCAAGCCUAGAGUAUGGAAGAGUGUGAUGGAAUAUCUGGUGUAGCAGUGAAAUGCGUAGAAAUCAGAUAGAACACCAAAGGCGAAGGCAGUCACUUGGUCCA